UAGCAAUACGAUGGAAAGUCUAGUGGCGAACGGGUGCUUAACACGUGGGCAACCUGCCAGGAAGUGGGGGAUAGCUCGCCGAAAGGCGAAUUAAUACCGCAUGUGAUUAGAGAGGACAUCCUUUCGAAAUUAAAGUCGGGGCAACCUGACGCUUCUUGUGGGGCCCGCGGCCUAUCAGCUAGUUGGCGGGGUAAAGGCUCACCAAGGCUUUGACGGGUAGCUGGUCUGAGAGGACGACCAGCCACACUGGGACUGAGACACGGCCCAGACACCUACGGGUGGCAGCAGUCGAGAAUUUUUGACAAUGGGGGAAACCCUGAUCGAGCGACGCCGCGUGGAGGAUGAAGGUCUUCGGAUUGUAAACUCCUGUCAUUGGGGAACAAGGUGCAUACGUUAACUGCGUGCGCAUUGAUAGUACCCGAAGAGGAAGAGACGGCUAACUCUGUGCCAGCAGCCGCGGUAAUACAGAGGUCUCAAGCGUUGUUCGGAUUCAUUGGGCGUAAAGGGUGCGUAGGCGGCGCGGUAAGUCGGGUGUGAAAUCUCGGAGCUUAACUCCGAAACUGCAUUCGAUACUGCCGUGCUUGAGGACUGGAGAGGAGACUGGAAUUCACGGUGUAGCA
rnacentral:rRNA from 1 species